rnacentral:rRNA from 2 species
AACAACGAAGAGUUUGAUCCUGGCUCAGGAUGAACGCUAGCGACAGGCUUAACACAUGCAAGUCGAGGGGCAGCGGGGAGGUAGCAAUACUUCCGCCGGCGACCGGCGCACGGGUGAGUAACACGUAUGGAACCUGCCCGUAGCAGGGGGAUAAGCGGAAGAAAUUCCGUCUAAUACCGCGUAAUAACUCCGAGAGGCAUCUCAUGGAGUUUAAAGGGUAACACCGGCUACGGAUGGCCAUGCGGCGCAUUAGCUAGUUGGCGGGGUAACGGCCCACCAAGGCGACGAUGCGUAGGGGUUCUGAGAGGAAGGUCCCCCACACUGGUACUGAGACACGGACCAGACUCCUACGGGAGGCAGCAGUGAGGAAUAUUGGUCAAUGGGCGCGAGCCUGAACCAGCCAAGUCGCGUGAGGGAAGACGGUCCUAUGGAUUGUAAACCUCUUUUGUCGGGGAGCAAAAGACGCCACGCGUGGCGUUCCGAGAGUACCCGAAGAAAAAGCAUCGGCUAACUCCGUGCCAGCAGCCGCGGUAAUACGGAGGAUGCGAGCGUUAUCCGGAUUUAUUGGGUUUAAAGGGUGCGCAGGCGGAAGAUCAAGUCAGCGGUAAAAUUGAGAGGCUCAACCUCUUCGAGCCGUUGAAACUGGUUUUCUUGAGUGAGCGAGAAGUAUGCGGAAUGCGUGGUGUAGCGGUGAAAUGCAUAGAUAUCACGCAGAACUCCGAUUGCGAAGGCAGCAUACCGGCGCUCAACUGACGCUCAUGCACGAAAGUGUGGGUAUCGAACAGGAUUAGAUACCCUGGUAGUCCACACAGUAAACGAUGAAUACUAAUUGUUCGGGGAGAAUGAUCCCUGAGUGAUACAGCGAAAGCGUUAAGUAUUCCACCUGGGGAGUACGCCGGCAACGGUGAAACUCAAAGGAAUUGACGGGGGCCCGCACAAGCGGAGGAACAUGUGGUUUAAUUCGAUGAUACGCGAGGAACCUUACCCGGGCUCAAACGACACAGGAAUACUUUUGAAAGGAGGUAGCUCUUCGGAGCCUGUGUCGAGGUGCUGCAUGGUUGUCGUCAGCUCGUGCCGUGAGGUGUCGGCUUAAGUGCCAUAACGAGCGCAACCCCCAUCGCCAGUUACCAGCAAGUCAAGUUGGGGACUCUGGCGAGACUGCCGGCGCAAGCUGUGAGGAAGGCGGGGAUGACGUCAAAUCAGCACGGCCCUUACGUCCGGGGCGACACACGUGUUACAAUGGCAGGUACAGAGAGAAGCAAUGCGGCGACGCAAAGCGGAACUUGAAAGCCUGUCUCAGUUCGGAUUGGAGUCUGCAACUCGACUCCAUGAAGCUGGAUUCGCUAGUAAUCGCGCAUCAGCCAUGGCGCGGUGAAUACGUUCCCGGGCCUUGUACACACCGCCCGUCAAGCCAUGGAAGCCGGGAGUGCCUGAAGUGUGCAACCGCAAGGAGCGCCCUAAGGUAAAACUGGUGACUGGGGCUAAGUCGUAACAAGGUAGCCGUACCGGAAGGUGCGGCUGGAACACCUCCUUUCU